rnacentral:rRNA from 1 species
UUUCCUACGGGAGGCAGCAGUGGGGAAUAUUGCACAACGGGGGAAACCCUGAUGCAGCAACGCCGCGUGAGUGAAGAAGUAUUUCGGUAUGUAAAGCUCUAUCAGCAGGGAAGAAGAAAGACGGUACCUGACUAAGAAGCCCCGGCUAACUACGUGCCAGCAGCCGCGGUAAUACGGAGGGUGCGAGCGUUAUCCGGAUUUACUGGGUGUAAAGGGAGCGUAGACGGCGGUGCAAGCCAGAUGUGAAAGCCCGGGGCUCAACCCCGGGACUGCAUUUGGAACUGUGCUGCUAGAGUGUCGGAGAG